CUCAGUUCGGAUUGAAGUCUGCAACCCGACUUCAUGAAGCUGGAUUCGCUAGUAAUCGCGCAUCAGCCACGGCGCGGUGAAUACGUUCCCGGGCCUUGUACACACCGCCCGUCAAGCCAUGGGAGCCGGGGGUACCUGAAGUGCGUAACCGCAAGGAGCGCCCUAGGGUAAAACUGGUGACUGGGCUAAGUCGUAACAAGGUAAC
rnacentral:rRNA from 1 species